UGAGCACCGCGACGCCUCCGAAGACGAAUCGUGCGGAGAAUUUAGCCGGUGUGAACGUUCGCUAACACGAGGCGUGCCGUGUUCGAUCGUGAUCGGAGACGUGCAUUUUUAUAUAACGAUCGAUCGAUUUAAAUUCGAUCAUUGAUAGACGGACAAUGACAAAUGACAUAUUGUAUUAUAAUUUAUUUUCAUUGACUGUUCAAUGAGACUGAAAAAUCUGUGUUGAUAAUUUUCAAAGGAAAAUAAUAAAAUGACAAAAAAAAGUGAUUGAGUGCGUCGUUUCAAACAAGGAACACACACAAACAUACAUAUAAAUAUAUAUAUAUAUAUAUAUUUUUUGUGUGUGUGUAAUGUAUAUGUAUAUAUUUUAGCAACAUGAAGGAACGUGAUAAUUACUAAUUUAAUGAUAUAGUGAUAUUAAUGUACACACACACACACACACAUGUAUAUAUAUAUAUAUACAUACAUACAUACAUAUAUAUCUACAAAGUAUUAACUUUAAGUGACUAUAAAUGAUUA